AACGAACGCUGGCGGCAGGCCUAACACAUGCAAGUCGAGCGCCCUUUCGGGGGAGCGGCGGACGGGUGAGUAACGCGUGGGAAUAUGCCCUUCUCUACGGAAUAGCCUCGGGAAACUGAGAGUAAUACCGUAUACGCCCUGUGGGGGAAAGAUUUAUCGGGGAAGGAUUAGCCCGCGUUGGAUUAGGUAGUUGGUGGGGUAAUGGCCUACCAAGCCGACGAUCCAUAGCUGGUUUGAGAGGAUGAUCAGCCACACUGGGACUGAGACACGGCCCAGACUCCUUCGGGAGGCAGCAGAGGGGAAACAUAGACAUUGGGAGCAAGCCUGAUCUAGCCAUGCCGCGUGAGGGAUGAAGGCCUUAGGGUUGGAGAGAUCUUUCAGCUAGGAAGAUAAUGACCGUACCAGCAGAAGAAGCCCCGGCUAACACCGGUC
rnacentral:rRNA from 1 species